rnacentral:rRNA from 1 species
AUUGAACGCUGGCGGCAUGCCUUACACAUGCAAGUCGAACGGCAGCACGGGAGCAAUCCUGGUGGCGAGUGGCGAACGGGUGAGUAAUAUAUCGGAACGUGCCCAGUCGUGGGGGAUAACGCAGCGAAAGCUGUGCUAAUACCGCAUACGAUCUAUGGAUGAAAGCGGGGGACCGCAAGGCCUCGCGCGAUUGGAGCGGCCGAUAUCAGAUUAGCUAGUUGGUGGGGUAAAGGCCCACCAAGGCGACGAUCUGUAGCUGGUCUGAGAGGACGACCAGCCACACUGGAACGGAGACACGGUCCAGACUCCUACGGGAGGCAGCAGUGGGGAAUUUUUGACAAUGGGCGCAAGCCUGAUCCAGCAAUGCCGCGUGCAGGAUGAAGGCCUUCGGGUUGUAAACUGCUUUUGUACGGAACGAAACGGUGAGCUUUGAUACAGUUUGCUAAUGACGGUACCGUAAGAAUAAGCACCGGCUAACUACGUGCCAGCCGCCGCCGUAAGAC